UACGAAGGGGGCGAGCGUUGUUCGGAUUUACUGGGCGUAAAGGGCGCGCAGGCGGCUCAUUUUGUCAGGCGUGAAAGCCCGGGGCUCAACCCCGGGAGGCGGGCGGAUACUGUCGGGCUAGAGUCCGGAAGAGGCGAGUGGAAUUCCUGGUGUAGCGGUGAAAUGCGCAGAUAUCAGGAGGAACACCAAUAGCGAAGGCAGCUCGCUGGGACGGUACUGACGCUGAGACGCGAAAGCGUGGGGAGCGAACAGG
rnacentral:rRNA from 1 species